GAGGGAAGGAAAGAAAGAAAGAAAGAAAGAAAGACAGUAAGUAAGAAAAGAAAGAAAUUUUCCGAGGGGUCGAUUACAAACGUCACUCGCUCGGUUUCAUUUAACCUUUUCCUCCUUCUCCUCUUCCUUCCUUUCUU
rnacentral:ribozyme from 11 species